AUAAAGAAUGUGCUGUGUUUCAUCACUACGUUACCGCAUAACACGUCUGACUUUGCCCAGGGCACAGCAGCGGCUGCCUUCCGGCGCUCUGCAGCUCAUUCCCGGACCCGGUCGCGUCCUGGAGUAUCCAUCACCUUCACCUGCCUCUCUCGCUGCCCACUGAUAGGCUCUCUCCCGUCUGCGGCAGCCCGAUGGACGCUCCCCCGCCUGAACCUCGACGCUGCAGCUCUCCUCCCUUCAUGUUGGACUGACCUUCCCGCUCCGGUCACCGCUGCCGCUACUCGCCGCUUCCCCAUUGUCGGACACAGCGUCAGACAGUUCACAUCCCAGCGUCUCGCUGAAUCACUCCGUUGCUCUUCCCACUGUGAAGCCAGUGUCUGUGUCAGCACAUUUUCAGAUGCUGCCAAAUGUCUGCAGCACGAGUGGCCUGUGGAAAACACCUUGUGCACUAGAAAUGCAAUGGUGAAGAACUUUACCCCUGAUAAGAUGUUAUCCUGAAAUCCUGAAUUCUGUGCGAACAUCCAAAAACAGCCUGCUUCCGUUCACGUUUGUGCAGAAAUAUUACUAAUAAAAGGGCCAGAAAAUGAUUUGGAAUUACAAUCAAGAGUGUGCACAUGAAUAUGAUUUCCACUAGAUGGCAGGUUGAGCUCAGAGACUUGCUGCCACCGUUAUUUUCCCCUGAAGCUGCCCAAGAGUUUUCCAUCUAAUCAUGUCUUAUUCUGCUGGGAGCUGCCUCCAGGAGCAUCCCACCUGCCCACUUCCUUUUUCGUCUCCAUGCCAGGGGAAUGCGGUAACCCGCUCCCACAAUGCACUGCAGCUCCCCUCUGUGAGGAAACGCUAUAGUGGCACUGUGAGCAUAUGGCACUUUCCUUUUCUUUCUCUUUCUUUUUUUUUUUAAAGCAACAAAAUAAUUCAGAAAUUAACCUUAAUUAUGAAAUGCUGAAUGUAAAUGCCGACAGGCGCCGAGGCUCAGGAGGCGCGAGGGACGUUGACGUCUCUGGAGCAUCAGUUUUUUUUCCUUUCUUUUGUAUGUUUCAAACUUUGUCUUUAAGGAUAUCAGCUUGUUUUCAUAUGUAAAACAGGCAACAAAAGUGAAACUCUUCAACCAGAGCGUCUUUGAAAGAGGCUCCACCGCUACAGCCUGAAAUUCAUUACAGCUCG
rnacentral:lncRNA from 1 species